UACGUAGGGGGCAAGCGUUGUCCGGAUUUACUGGGCGUAAAGAGCGUGUAGGCGGCCACGCAGGUCCGUUGUGAAAACUGGAGGCUCAACCUCCAGCUGUCGACGGAAACCGUGUGGCUAGAGUCCGGAAGAGGAGAGUGGAAUUCCUGGUGUAGCGGUGAAAUGCGCAGAUAUCAGGAGGAACACCAAUGGCGAAGGCAGCUCGCUGGGACGGUACUGACGCUGAGACGCGAAAGCGUGGGGAGCAAACAGG
rnacentral:rRNA from 1 species